rnacentral:sRNA from 1 species
UUCUUUCUCUGUUUAU